UGAGAGCAGACGACGCGACAGCAGAGCAUGGAAGCGAUUCUUGGACAAGAAAUCCGACUCGCUCGAUUCCACUUUGCACCAGAGCCAAGGUGAAUUCUCCUCGCAGGUUUUUUCUCAAGAGGCCUAUAGCCAAAACAUGCUUUCUGGCAAUCGGGAUGAGCCUUCUCAGGAUGACGACUUGGACCGCCGUCGUGUUGCGAAACUAGGACUGCCAGGUCAAUCAGUAUUGCAUGCUGACCAUACCGCCCAUCAGAUCCAGGAGGAGCUUCGGGCAGAACUGAACA